rnacentral:lncRNA from 1 species
GUGUGGUAUAAGUGCAAAUAAGACAACUCUCCAUCUACUUCACAAUGUGUAAAAAGUUAAACAAUUAUAGGUCAAAGUAAGUUUAUACUAAAACUACUUUCAAAUAGUGUCCUCGGAAAUUUCUCUUACGAAGCAGUUUUAUGUACAAAAAUAAAAAAUAGAGAACAUCUAUUAAAGAACAAAACCCAUAUGAUUCACUUUUGUUAAUCCUGAUGAUUGCGUGAUCAAGAUUUUAUAUCGUGUUUUUAAAUUUGAAAAAAGAAAUAAAAUCUGUACACUACAAUCAAGAAACUUUCAAAUGAUCUUCAAAACGAUGUUUUUCUUGUGACGUCAUUUUUUUCGUGACGCCACCACAGGAAAUUACUCGGAACGCAAAAAAAAAAGACGUCAUAAUCGAAUUUUGCUCAAAGAACAGCUGAGAUCAAACGAAACACAUGUUGAUUAAAAAAAUAAUCAGCAGGUCAGGAAAAGGAUAAAUCGGGAAGGAAUUAAAGAAAUUGUCAUAUCAAUAUAUCAAACAACAAAUUGAUUCUGCAAGCAUACUUUUUUGAAGAUUUAUUAGAUGCUUAGUGUGAUAUUUAAACGCCAUUUUCAUCACUAGUGGUUAGUUUAUGGCGUCCAUUUGAUAUUGGUGGACAGAAUUGAAUUGCCCGGUAACAUCUACCAAAAUUUUCAAGAAAAAUAAUUCAAUAAUAAAUAAAACCAAACGCACAUUUCACGUAGAACUGCUUAGACCAAACGGUCAUCUCAAAAUAAAAAUAAAUAAAAAAGACUUCGGCAUUUAUAAAAGGAAUUCUAACGCAC